CUGCAGUGGCGCGAUCUUGGCUCACUGCAACCUCCGCCUCCUGGAUUCAAGCGAUUCUUCUGCCUCAGCCUCCCGAGUAGCUAGGAUUACAGGCAUGUGUCACCACGCCCGGCUAAUUUUGUAUUUUUAGUAGAGACGGGGUUUCUCCGUGUUGGUCAGGCUGGUCUCGAACUCCUGACCUCAGGUGAUCUGCCCGCCUCGGCCUCCCAAAGUGCUGAGAUUACAGACGUGAGCCACCGUGCCUGGCGGAAUUUUCAUAUUUUAAGUCCCCCACCCUUGGACAUUUAGAUUUUUUCCAUCUUUCUGUAUUUGCAGAUAUGCUUCUACGUACACCUUUAUUCAUUUGCUUGAACAUUUCCCUGAGAAAAACUAGAAAUGGAAUUGCCAGAUUACUUUGUGUACAUGUUUCCAAACUGUCCUCCAGAAAGAAUGUAAUGCUUUGAACUUCCACUUGAGAAUCAAAUGUUUACCUUCCUCUGUUCCUCCAGAUUUGGACAUUUACAGUGUUCAGCCGUUGUUGUGGCAUUCCAAUUCAAUUGGGAAACAGCUUGAUGUAGCGUCCCCAUAAGGUCCACAGUAAUUAAAUUUUUUUUUUUUUUUUUUGGUGCGGUAGUGCAAUUUCAUGGCUCACUGCAACCUCCACCUCCCAGGUUCAAGCGAUCCUCCCAUCUCAGCCUCCCUAGUAGCUGGGAUUACAGGUGCACGCCACCACACCAGGCUAAUUUUUGUAUUUUUAGUAGAGAUGGGGUUUCACCAGGUUAGCCAGGCUGGUCUUGAACUCCAGACCUCAAGGGAUCCGCCUGCCUCAGCUUUCCAAAGUGCUGGGAUUACAGGUGGAGACUGGACCUCAGAAGAGGGAGUGGGUGCCCCGAGAACUCACAGCUAGCGGACAGUGGAAAGGGCAGGAGCCGGACCAAGGUGAGGACAGUGGAACUGAAGGCCGCUGGUUACCUCUCCUGCCCUCCGCUGGCCACAGUGGAGAAGACAGCCCCUCCCUCCUGCUCUGACCUGACAGUGUUCAUCCAUCGCCCUGUAUUAGCGAAGAACAACAUCAAGCUGGCUAGCAAGGAACUGUAUACAGGGUCCAGCUGGGUAUCACACUGGAUCUCACCCAAAGCUUAGAUGUGAUCCAGCUCAGUAUCACAAAGCAGAACGAAAAGGAUGUGUUUGGGCUGAGAGGCCAUACAUUGGCUCCGGCAUGACGGGUGACUUCUUCCGAGUCUGGCUUCUGCAGCACACAGGGCUUCGCCAGCACCCAGCUCCUGCAGCAUGGGCAGCUCCUGUGACAGCAGGCGCCCGCAGCCUGCAAAGCGUCUCCAGUGCCGCCGCCUCAGUGAACCUCAACCAGCGGCACCUAGCAGCUUUCUCUGCCACCCUCUUCAGGUAGUUCUGUAGCAGCGCGUUUCUCAUGAGACACUUCCCUGUGAGCAGCUUUUUCUACCCUUGAGGAUGGAUUUCCAGCAAAUUCUGCCCAUGUGGUACCACAGCCACUUCUCUGCCAUUCAGUGAAACUGCCGUUGUGCCCUCUUCAAGGUCUGGAUCUAAGCCCAGGGACCAGGAAACCUCUUGCUUGAGUGCUGGAACUCAGGCCAGAAGGACAUCCCUGUAGAAGUUCUGCUGCGUGUGGUCCAGCCGUCCCCACUCCUCCCGGGAGAGGUACAAGGCCACAUCCUCGAAAGUCACUGGCAUCUGAAACAAUGUGAAACAUCCACUCUCCAGGACAUGACGUGGACACGGUGGAGGGACACCAUGGCAUGAGAUGUGUGGUGAGACCCCGGACUCCCAACCCACUGUGUCGAGUGAGGCCUGCCACUUCCAUCUGAUCGGGAAGCAGGUGAGCCACCCAAGGCCUUCUGGGGAGUUGAGAAAGAACAAAGACCAAGAGGUAUUUUCAGGGAUCACAGUUAAGACUUAGGAUGUCCAUGCAGCCCCCAGCCUCAGCUGAGACCUCGGAGGACGGUUCCCAACGGCUACCAGCGAGAGGCCCUGUGUCUCUAAUUCCUGCUGCUUCUCCUCCAGCUUUGGCCCAGGCCUGACCAUGGGCCUUGAGCCUGGACAAUUCCAGCAACACUAGCAAGAGCCCCAGGCUUCAGGCUUGGCUGCAAGUGGGGCCAGCGGGGUCCUGGCUUUCACACAGAACCAGCAGAUGCAGGAAGGGCUGAGUACCAUGCAGGGGCCGGGGAAGGGCCACUCACCUGGGACCAGGCAGUGAGGAGCGCUGCAGCCAUCUGCCGGUCUCUGGUCCUCCCCUCUCGGGAAAGCACGGGGAUCCGGGGGGAGGGGAGGGCUGUGGGAGGAGAGAGGUCCUCACGGUGAUCAGCUCAUCCUGCUGGACCUGCUGCUACUUCAGCUGCCUCAAACUCCACCCCUGGCCCGACCCAAGGACAGGGUCGGAUGGCUCUGACGCUGCCAGGGGGCUGUGGGCCAUGGGGGGAUAGCGUCCCCUGCUGGCAUAGAGACCCUCAGCCCCACCUGGACCUGGGCCAAACCUCCACCUCCCCACAGCUGCCUCCCUGGGAAAGCGCCUCUUCCCCGUCCCUCUCCUACCUCCGCCAGGCAGGAAGAGAGCUUUCUCCUUAGAGCCGUGACUUAGGGGUGCCCAGCCCCAGGCACCUUGAGCCCCAUCCUCCUGCGAUGCCCCCUCGGAGUGUGGCUCUUCGGGCUCCAUCUUAAUGUGCAGUGACUCCUGAGUGUCCCCUGAAGGUACCGCCUCCCCCAGCUUAGAAGGCAUUUCCUGAUGAGGAUGUCCACGAUCUGGAACCUAGAAAGGACAGCCCCAUCAGCACCCAGAUGAGUGGGAGAGACACCCAGGGCCACAUGGCAGUGCGCUCCGGCAGCGUCGGAAACCAACAUGCAAGACGCAGCUUGAAGGACUGUCCUUGCUGCAUUCAUCCAGCUCACCCCAGCAAGGACGGGCGGCAAGAGGAGGAAUAUUCACCAAGCCGCCUCCACAGUGCCGGUGGGCGUGGUGCCCAAGGGCAGCUACCCCUUCUCAGCUCCAGCCUCACACUGACCUCAGCAGUGUAGACUGCUGUCUAUUAGUGUAUGAAGAAACCAAGUGUAGUGGCUUGAAUAGUGUCCUCUAAGAAUCCGUGUCCUCCCUGGACCUCAGAAUGGGACCUUAUUGGGGAAAAGGGUCUUUAUACAGAAUAGGAGAGGACACAGAGACACAGAGAAGGAAGCAGAGACUGGAGGGAUGCCCACACCAAGGACACCAGGAGCCCCCAAGGAGUUGGAAGAGACGGAGUUUCGCUCUUCUUCCCAUGCUGGAGUGCAAUGGCGCAAUCUCAGCUCACCCCAACCUCCGCCUCCUGGGUUCAAGCGAUUCUCCUGCCUCAGCCUCCUGAUUACCUGGGAUUACAGGCAUGUGCCACCACACCUGGCUAAUUUUGUGUUUUUAGUAGAGAUGGGGUUUCUCCAUGUCGGUCAGGCUGGUCUGGAACUCCUGACCUCAGGUGAUCCGCCCACCUCAGCCUCCUAAAAUGCUGGGAUUACAGGCGUGAGCCACCGCGCCCAGCCUAUAAAAUUGAUUCUUUAAAAAAAAUUAGAACAUUUACCGAUGCUGGACCCACCUUCCCCACCUUCAGGGUCCACUUUCUAGGUGGCCACAGUGCCUGCUUGGCCCCUGUAGCAUUUGAGUUUGCAACUCUGCUUUUGGAGUUAAACAUGUUUUAGGAGUCCUGGGAUUCUGAUUGAUGCUAUUGUCAAUUUGAUGAAAGAAAAAUUACUCCUGGGA
rnacentral:lncRNA from 1 species